CAUGUUNUUGNGGUGAAAAGCUUUUUCNGGUGNGGGAUGGGGCCCCCGGCCCUAUCAGNUUUUUGGUGGGGGUGAUGGCCUCCCAAGGCCGACGCGGGGUAACCCGGCCNUAAGAGGGUGUCCGGCCCACACUGGGAUUGAAGAUACGGCCCAGACUCCUACGGGAGGCAGCAGUGGGGAAUAUUGCACAAUGGGCGCAAGCCUGAUGCAGCGGCGCCGCGUGGGGGAUGACGGCCUUCGGGUUGUAAACCUCUUUCAGUAGGGCCGAAGCGCAAGUGACGGUACCUACAGAAGAAGCACCGGCCAANUACGUGCCAGCAGCCGCGGUAAUACGUAGGGUGCGAGCGUUGUCCGGAAUUACUGGGCAUAAAGGG
rnacentral:rRNA from 1 species